rnacentral:rRNA from 1 species
GACGAACGCUGGCGGCGUGCCUAAUACACGCAAGUAGAACGCUGAAGGAGGAGCUUGCUUCUCUGGAUGAGUUGCGAACGGGUGAGUAACGCGUAGGUAACCUGCCUGGUAGCGGGGGAUAACUAUUGGAAACGAUAGCUAAUACCGCAUAAUAGUAGAUGUUGCAUGACAUUUGCUUAAAAGGUGCAAUUGCAUCACUACCAGAUGGACCUGCGUUGUAUUAGCUAGUUGGUGGGGUAACGGCUCACCAAGGCGACGAUACAUAGCCGACCUGAGAGGGUGAUCGGCCACACUGGGACUGAGACACGGCCCAGACUCCUACGGGAGGCAGCAGUAGGGAAUCUUCGGCAAUGGACGGAAGUCUGACCGAGCAACGCCGCGUGAGUGAAGAAGGUUUUCGGAUCGUAAAGCUCUGUUGUAAGAGAAGAACGAGUGUGAGAGUGGAAAGUUCACACUGUGACGGUAGCUUACCAGAAAGGGACGGCUAACUACGUG